rnacentral:lncRNA from 1 species
ACAAAACAGAGGGUAUUAUUUUACAAAUAUGAAACAGUAAUAUAUCAGCUAUGGAGGUCUGCGGGAGCCUAAAAACAUAAACUAGAAUAUUUUUAAAUCAUCUGAAAUCUCAUCAUACUGCCCUCUAGAUGGGUAUCAUUCCUGUCUUUGUUCCAGUUUAUUUAAAUAUGGAGAUAUUUGGACUCAGAGAAGAAAAGUAAACGCUCGAAGUCACAGAACUAGGAUUGAAGCCAGAUGUUCUUCAUUACAAAAGGAUUAUCUCUCUACGAGUUGCAAAUAUUUUUCCUGGUGUAUCAUUUGUCCUAUGGUUUUACAUGCUAUUAUUAUUACCCUGGAGAAUAUCCGGUGUUACCUCGACCACUUUUGAUUAAGAAAACUGCAGAAAGUUAGUAACUGCCACAAACGAACGCCAGGCGGUGGCCCGUGUCAAUUUUCCACAGAGUCCUGCUUUGCGGGGUGUCUGAAUGCACUGCUCGGGGUCUCUGCUCACACUUACUGGAAUCAAUCGUGGCAGAUUUUAGUCCACAGGUCGCUUUUCCCCAUAUUUCUUUGUAAACUCUUCAGCGUUCUUACAGAAAUUUUUACGGUCCUUAGAGUAUUCUUCAGCUAGGUCAGCCCGAAGCGGGUGCUCAGGCUGGGGGUCGUUCACCAGUGCUAUGAGGGACCGGAUUACUUGGUCGGUUUUGGUUGCUGGCUUCCAGUUUUCAGCACUAAUUACCGGCAGUCAGACCUGCCCCUUUUCAUCAAUGUUCGGGUGAUAGAUCUUUGUUUUAAAUGUGAUCUUCGGUGGUUUGAAUGGGUACUCUGCCGGAAAGUUGAUUUCGAUUCUGAAGGUCCCAUUGUCAUAUGGAGGGUUGUCAGGAACAAUAAGCCCUUGCCAAGUCAAUAAAUUAGCUUCAUCAAUCUGGAUGUUACGGAAGUUUUUCAUUCCACAUUUGCGGAUUUCUUCAAGCUCCUUCAUCAGCCUCCUGCUGGCCGCCAUCUUGGAUCUGGUGCUGCUAAAAUAACAAGAUAUUUUGAGGAAGAAGAUGC